UUGAAAAAAGUUGUUUCAGAUUCGCAAAUUUUCGUUUUAGUUAUGAUAUUUGUGAGGAAACAGUAAUACUGAACAUUUACCAUGGUCUAAUAGAGCCAUUAUAUGCAUCUUUUGACGAUUUUAAAACCUAAAAAUUAUAAAGCGUUGCAACGCGAAACGAUUGAAUAAUUUGGAGAGUUCUGUUUUUGUCGUUAAAUUUUGUGAAACUACGAAGAUUGCUUAUAUAAGGUAUAAAAUACGUCAUGAAUGUGUACUCGGCGGAAUAGCUCAGUAGGCUAAAGCGUUUUUACUUCAGGACUCUGGCAGGACUCCAGGGGUCACUGGUUCGAAACCUGCUCCGGGCAAUGUUCUUUUCCUUUUUUUAAUUUUUUUCUUGAUUUUUUACUGGAGCUUUUAUGAUCCAAUGUUUACAUUUAUCAAUAUAAAGCAUUUAAUGAAUAAGUUAAAAAAAUGCCAAAAUCUGUGAAAA